GACGAACGCUGGCGGCGUGCCUAAUACAUGCAAGUAGAACGCUGAAGGAGGGGCUUGCUUGUCCGGAUGAGUUGCGAACGGGUGAGUAACGCGUAGGUAACCUGCCUGGUAGCGGGGGAUAACUAUUGGAAACGAUAGCUAAUACCGCAUAAGAGUAGAUGUCGCAUGACAUUUGCUUGAAAGGUGCAACUGCACCACUACCACAUGCAGCUGCGCUGUAUUAGCUAGUUGGUGAGGUAACGGCUCACCAAGGCAACGAUACAUAGCCGACCUGAGAGGGUGAGCGGCCACACUGGGACUGAGACACGGCCCAGACUCCUUCGGGAGGCAGCAGUAGGGAAUCGUCGGCAAUGGACGGAAGUCUGACCGAGCAACGCCGCGUGAGUGAAGAAGGGUUUCGGAUCGUAAAGCUCUGUUGUAAGAGAAGAACGAGUGUGAGAGUGGAAAGUUCACUCUGUGACGGUAUCUUACCAGAAAGGGACGGCUAACUACGUG
rnacentral:rRNA from 1 species